GAGUUUGAUCCUGGCUCAGGACGAACGCUGGCGGCGUGCUUAACACAUGCAUGUCGAACGGAACUUCCUUUCGGCGGUGCUCCAGUGUUCAACGGCUGACUAACACGUGGGUGAUCUGCCCUGCUCUUUGGGAUAACCCUGUUAAACUGGGUCUAAUACCGAAUACACCCUGCUGGUCGCAUGGCCUGCCGGACGAAAGCUUUUGCGGUGUGCUAUGGGCCCCCGCCCUAUCAACUUGAUGUUGGGCCGAUGGCCUACCACGGCAACCACUUUUAGCCAGCCUGACAGGGUGUCCGGCCACACUGCCUCUGAAAUACCGCCCGUACUCCUACGGUAGGCAUGAAUGUGGAAUAUUGGACAAUGUGCGCACGCCUGAUGCUUCGACCCCGCGGGAGGCAUGACGCCCUUCGGAUUGUAAACCUCUUUCUGCACAGACGAAGCGCAAGUGACGGUAUGUGCAUAAGAAACACCGGCCAACUACUUGCCAGCAGCCGCGAUAAUACGUAUGGUGCGAGCGUUGUCCGGAAUUACUGGGCGAAAAGAGCCCGUAGGUGGUUUGUCACGUUGUUCGUGAAAACCGGGGGCUUAACCCUCGGCGUGCGGGCGAUACGGGCAGACUGGAGUACUGCAGGGGAGACUGGAAUUCCUGGUGUAGCGGUGGAAUGCGCAGAUAUCAGGAGGAACACCGGUGGCGAAGGCGGGUCUCUGGGCAGUAACUGACGCUGAGGAGCGAAAGCGUGGGGAGCGAACAGGAUUAGAUACCCUGGUAGUCCACGCCGUAAACGGUGGGUACUAGGUGUGGGUUUCCUUCCUUGGGAUCCGUGCCGUAGCUAACGCAUUAAGUACCCCGCCUGGGGAGUACGGCCGCAAGGCUAAAACUCAAAGGAAUUGACGGGGGCCCGCACAAGCGGCGGAGCAUGUGGUUUAAUUCGACGCAACGCGAAGAACCUUACCUGGGCUUGACAUGUAGGUGACAGCCGUGGAAACACGGUCUCCCUUCGGGGCACUUACACAGGUGGUGCAUGGCUGUCGUCAGCUCGUGUCGUGAGAUGUUGGGUUAAGUCCCGCAACGAGCGCAACCCUCGUCGCAUGUUGCCAGCAGGUAAAGCUGGGGACUCAUGCGAGACUGCCGGUGACAAACCGGAGGAAGGCGGGGAUGACGUCAAGUCCUCAUGCCCCUUAUGUCCAGGGCUACACACGUGCUACAUUGGCGCAUACAAAGGGCUGCGAUACCGCGAGGUGGAGCGAAUCCCAAAAAGUGCGUCUCGGUUCGGAUUGGAGGCUGAAACUCGCCUCCAUGAAGGCGGAGUUGCUAGUAAUCCCGAAUCAGCAACGUCGGGGUGAAUACGUUCCCGGGCCUUGUACACACCGCCCGUCACACCACGAAAGCGGGCAACACCCGAAGCCGGUGGCCUAACCCUUACGGGAGGGAGCCGUCGAAGGUGGGGCUCGUGAUUGGGGUGAAGUCGUAACAAGGUAGCCGUACCGGAAGGUGCGGCUGGAUCACCUCCUUUCU
rnacentral:rRNA from 1 species